CCUAGUGGCGGACGGGUGAGUAACGCGUGAGGAACCUGCCUUGGAGAGGGGAAUAACACUCCGAAAGGAGUGCUAAUACCGCAUGAUGCAGUUGGGUCGCAUGGCUCUGACUGCCAAAGAUUUAUCGCUCUGAGAUGGCCUCGCGUCUGAUUAGCUAGUAGGCGGGGUAACGGCCCACCUAGGCGACGAUCAGUAGCCGGACUGAGAGGUUGACCGGCCACAUUGGGACUGAGACACGGCCCAGACUCC
rnacentral:rRNA from 1 species